GGCAAAUUUGGCAUGUGAUACCUUUUCGGAAAGCCCACAGAGAUCUCUCCGAUGAAUGAGGAAGGAAAUGGGAUUCUUCUAUUGUGUUGUUUGUCUUCUCCAACUUUUGACCUUAAUGUAUUUUUUGGGCCUUUUCGUGAUCUUUGCUGUAUUACGGGGCGAAUAUUAUAUGUUCGGCCAUUGUUUUCGAAUAUUUUGCAUGUAUCAAAGCUCUUAGAAACAAGAUAGGGUAUUCCUACAUAGCUGGUGGGUCCCACGACAAAUCGAACAUAAAGUCUUCUAAAAAGAAUAUAUACGAUUGCAUUGCAUGUAGUAACGGAUGCGAUCAUACCAGCACUAAUGCACCAGAUCCCAUCAAAACUCCGCUGUUAAGCGUGCUUGGGCGAGAGUAGUACUAAGAUGGGUGACCUCCAGGAAAGUCUUCGUGUUGCAUCCCUCUUUUUUUUUGGUUUUUCUCUUUUUU
rnacentral:rRNA from 1 species